CGUCCCGUGGUCUAGUGGCACGAUUCCUGCUUCGGGUGCAGGAGGUCCCGGGUUCAAGCCCCGGCGGGACCC